rnacentral:lncRNA from 1 species
GGUUAUAUUUUCACCAGGAUAAUGGGGGUUUGCACUGAGCAAGCAAGCACAUAGGACUUUUUGGGAACUGCAAACCUAAACGGUGAAGGGGUGAAGGGUCCACAGGGAGCAAGAGCCCCGUGUCUGCCCAGGGCCGGCAACAAGAAAACGGCGCCCAGCGCUGUCGAGGCAGCGCUCCGGCUGCACCCGUCGCACGGACAGGCAAAGGGAGCAAAGUACCUGGGAGCGUGAGUUUUAAAUAACCUCAAUGUUCUCCGGGAGCAGAGCCGAGUCCUUUCCUACCUCUCUGCGACUGCCGUGACCCUCACAAAAGGCCCACUUCGUAAUGAGACUGUCACACAGAACAAAAAGUGGCAUUAAAGAAAAUUAAUAAAUGUCAAAGUCCAUGUAAAAAAACGUUGCUCAUUACUCAUAUGCAGCCUGACACCCCCAGAAUUGUGAUUUCCAAUUUCAUCUUCUCUGCAAGGCCACAGAUAGGAAUUCAUUCAAAUAGCAAGGAAGGAAUUAAGUGCUAAUUUAACAAAAAGAAAGGGCUACAGAGGAAUUAGAUUAGAUGCUUAAAUUAAAUAUAAACCUGUAAAAAGGUUUUCUGAGUGCUCCCAGCUUUUCUCCUUGAUAAUUCUCUGCAGUAAUAAAGCAAAAUGCUACCAAGGCAAAAUGGCAUAUGGCAAUAUGCUUUGGGGGUCUGGCAAAGUACCCCCAAGCAGCAGGACAGGAGUACACUGAUUUUAUAAUGUGUGAGGUUUUUUUUUUUUUGAAUAAUCUUGCAAAUUUCAGUUUGCCUCCCUGACUGCCCUGCAGUGGGUCACACCAGCGUGGCUCAAGCCCGUCGCAGGGGAAACACAAGCGAUGCCCGUCCAGAAACGUGGUGCGCCGCUGCGCCUCUUCCCAGCCUGGUGGAGACGGCUUCCUGGACCUGUCGCAAUGGGGAUCAGGGCAGAGAGUCUCCGAUUACAAACACCGUGCCUCGCAGAGCUCCGCUGCAGCAGCGACAGUUUGCUGAGUUAAAUUUGGCGCACCGAAAACCGCAGACGUCUUCCCCUCUGAUUUCUCAGCCUCUUCCCCUUGCCGAUCGGGCAGGAGCCGGCGUUUCUUUGAAAGCUCAGCCUAAUUUUUUGGCUUGGUGAAACGGCACUGUACACCUGUAUGUAAAAUAAACCCC